rnacentral:rRNA from 1 species
UACGUAGGGGGCUAGCGUUGUCCGGAUUUAUUGGGCGUAAAGAGCGUGUAGGCGGCUCGAUAAGUCUGCUGUGAAAGUCCAGGGCUCAACCCUGGAAGGCCGGUGGAAACUGUCGGGCUAGAAUCCGGAAGAGGCGAGUGGAAUUCCCGGUGUAGCGGUGAAAUGCGCAGAUAUCGGGAGGAACACCAAUGGCGAAGGCAGCUCGCUGGGACGGUAUUGACGCUGAGACGCGAAAGCGUGGGGAGCAAACAGG